CCUACGGGAGGCAGCAGUGAGGAAUAUUGGUCAAUGGCCGAGAGGCUGAACCAGCCAAGUCGCGUGAGGGAUGACGGCCCUACGGGUUGUAAACCUCUUUUGUCGGGGAGCAAGACCCGCCUCGUGCAGGCGGAGCGAGAGUACCCGAAGAAAAAGCAUCGGCUAACUCCGUGCCAGCAGCCGCGGUAAUACGUAGGGGGCAAGCGUUAUCCGGAUUUACUGGGCGUAAAGGGAGCGUAGACGGCAUAGCAAGUCUGAUGUGAAAGAUCGGGGCUCAACCCCGGGCCUGCAUUGGAAACUGUUAA
rnacentral:rRNA from 1 species